rnacentral:rRNA from 1 species
GAUGAACGCUGGCGGCGUGCUUAACACAUGCAAGUCGAACGAUGAAGCCGGAGCUUGCUCCGGUGGAUUAGUGGCGAACGGGUGAGUAACACGUGAGCAAUCUGCCCUUGACUCUGGGAUAACUGCGGGAAACUGUAGCUAAUACCGGAUACGACACCUUGGGGCAUCCCAGGGUGUGGAAAGAAUUUCGGUCAAGGAUGAGCUCGCGGCCUAUUAGCUAGUUGGUGAGGUAAUGGCUCACCAAGGCGACGACGGGUAGCCGGCCUGAGAGGGUAGCCGGCCACACUGGAACUGAGACACGGUCCAGACUCCUACGGGAGGCAGUAGUGGGGAAUAUUGCACAAUGGGCGAAAGCCUGAUGCAGCAACGCCGCGUGAGGGAUGAAGGCCUUCGGGUUGUAAACCUCUUUUAGCAGGGAAGAAGCGAAAGUGACGGUACCUGCAGAAAAAGCACCGGCUAACUACGUGCCAGCAGCCGCCGUAA